rnacentral:misc_RNA from 1 species
GAUGAAGAACGCAGCGAAAUGCGAUAAGUAAUGUGAAUUGCAGAAUUCAGUGAAUCAUCGAAUCUUUGAACGCACAUUGUGCCCCCUGGAAUUCCGGGGGGCAUGCCUGUUCGAGCGUCUCAGGGACGAACCCUCGCGCGGGUGUACGCGCGGUCGUGGCUGCGGUGGCGUGCCCGAGGCGGCGGCCACCGCGCUGGAAUCCAUGGGCGGACGCCUGCCGCGUGGCCGAGCGUGAUAUGACGCAUUGGCGCUCGCACGCGGAGAGGCUGCCAGCCCUGGCCCGUCUGUCGGGCGGGGGAGAGCAAGACACGUGAACUCCUCGAAUCAGGUAGGGAUACCCGCUGAACUUAAGCAUAUCAAUAAGCGGAGGA